UUCUCCUUUUUCUCUUUUUUUUUGCAGUGCCGCUUCAGAAACAAAGAAAGAAAGAAAAAAGAAAAACUCUUCUGUAUUUUCUAUUUGUCAAUACACAUUGAUCCGUUGAUUGCAUCAGAUCCGUCCAGACAGACAGACAGACAAUUGAUCGAAU
rnacentral:ribozyme from 11 species